rnacentral:rRNA from 1 species
UGACCACAUGUGUUUUUCUUUGAAACAAACUUGCUUUGGCGGUGGGCCCAGCCUGCCGCCAGAGGUCUAAACUUACAACCAAUUUUUUAUCAACUUGUCACACCAGAUUAUUACUUAAUAGUCAAAACUUUCAACAACGGAUCUCUUGGUUCUCGCAUCGAUGAAGAACGCAGCGAAAUGCGAUACGUAAUAUGAAUUGCAGAUAUUCGUGAAUCAUCGAAUCUUUGAACGCACAUUGCGCCCUCUGGUAUUCCGGAGGGCAUGCCUGUUUGAGCGUCGUUUCUCCCUCAAACCGCUGGGUUUGGUGUUGAGCAAUACGACUUGGGUUUGCUUGAAAGACGGUAGUGGUAAGGCGGGAUCGCUUUGACAAUGGCUUAGGUCUAACCAAAAACAUUGCUUGCGGCGGUAACGUCCACCACGUAUAUCUUCAAACUUUGACCUCAAAUCAGGUAGGACUACCCGCUGAACUUAAGCAUAUCAAUAAGCGGGAGGAAAAAAGA